CAGUCGCCACGGUAAUACGUAGGGUGCAAGCGUUAAUCGGAAUUACUGGGCGUAAAGCGUGCGCAGGCGGUGUUGUAAGACUGAUGUGAAAUCCCCGGGCUCAACCUGGGAACUGCAUUGGUGACUGCAACGCUGGAGUGCGGCAGAGGGGGAUGGAAUUCCGCGUGUAGCAGUGAAAUGCGUAGAUAUGCGGAGGAACACCGAUGGCGAAGGCGGCCAUCUGGGACAACACUGACGCUGAGGCACGAAAGCGUGGGGAGCAAACAGGAUUAGAUACCCGCGUAGUCCCUGUCUCUUAUAA
rnacentral:rRNA from 1 species